rnacentral:rRNA from 1 species
AGAGUUUGAUCUUGGCUCAGGAUGAACGCUGGCGGCGUGCCUAAUACAUGCAAGUCGAACGAACUUCCGUUAAUUGAUCAGGACGUGCUUGCACUGAAUGAGAUUUUAAUAUGAAGUGAGUGGCGGACGGGUGAGUAACACGUGGGUAACCUGCCCAGAAGCAGGGGAUAACACCUGGAAACAGAUGCUAAUACCGUAUAACAGAGAAAACCGCCUGGUUUUCUUUUAAAAGAUGGCUCUGCUAUCACUUCUGGAUGGACCCGCGGCGCAUUAGCUAGUUGGUGAGGUAACGGCUCACCAAGGCGAUGAUGCGUAGCCGACCUGAGAGGGUAAUCGGCCACAUUGGGACUGAGACACGGCCCAGACUCCUACGGGAGGCAGCAGUAGGGAAUCUUCCACAAUGGACGCAAGUCUGAUGGAGCAACGCCGCGUGAGUGAAGAAGGGUUUCGGCUCGUAAAGCUCUGUUGUUAAAGAAGAACGUGGGUGAGAGUAACUGUUCACCCAGUGACGGUAUUUAACCAGAAAGCCACGGCUAACUACGUGCCAGCAGCCGCGGUAAUACGUAGGUGGCAAGCGUUAUCCGGAUUUAUUGGGCGUAAAGCGAGCGCAGGCGGUCUUUUAAGUCUAAUGUGAAAGCCUUCGGCUCAACCGAAGAAGUGCAUUGGAAACUGGGAGACUUGAGUGCAGAAGAGGACAGUGGAACUCCAUGUGUAGCGGUGAAAUGCGUAGAUAUAUGGAAGAACACCAGUGGCGAAGGCGGCUGUCUGGUCUGUAACUGACGCUGAGGCUCGAAAGCAUGGGUAGCGAACAGGAUUAGAUACCCUGGUAGUCCAUGCCGUAAACGAUGAUUACUAAGUGUUGGAGGGUUUCCGCCCUUCAGUGCUGCAGCUAACGCAUUAAGUAAUCCGCCUGGGGAGUACGACCGCAAGGUUGAAACUCAAAAGAAUUGACGGGGGCCCGCACAAGCGGUGGAGCAUGUGGUUUAAUUCGAAGCUACGCGAAGAACCUUACCAGGUCUUGACAUCUUCUGCCAACCUAAGAGAUUAGGCGUUCCCUUCGGGGACAGAAUGACAGGUGGUGCAUGGUUGUCGUCAGCUCGUGUCGUGAGAUGUUGGGUUAAGU